UACGGAGGGUGCAAGCGUUAUCCGGAUUCACUGGGUUUAAAGGGUGCGUAGGAGGGCAGGUAAGUCAGUGGUGAAAUCUUUGGGCUUAACCCGAAAACUGCCAUUGAUACUAUCUGUCUUGAAUGCGGUGGAGGUGAGCGGAAUAUGUCAUGUAGCGGUGAAAUGCUUAGAUAUGACAUAGAACACCAAUUGCGAAGGCAGCUCGCUACACGAAUAUUGACUCUGAGGCACGAAAGCGUGGGGAUCAAACAGG
rnacentral:rRNA from 1 species